rnacentral:tRNA from 1 species
AGUUUUAAUAGUUUAAAAAAUACUGGUCUUGUAAAUCAGAGAAGAGAGCUUUCUCUUAAAAC